AGACUCCGGUUGAUGAGCUGCUGGCUGCCUAGAACCUUACAGAUGGCUUAUUUCAGGGAGAGUGAAUGCAUAGAACUGUAUUCUCAUAGGCCUGUUGGUAAGAGGGCAUAUUAGACCCUAAAGCUUUUGGAUAAAGAGAAAUAAAGAUUUGCUUAAUAAUAAAUCAAGAAUGUCUCCUCUUAGAGAUGGAGCCCCACUCUGUUGCCCAGACUGGAGUGCAGUGGCGUGAUCUCGGCUCACCGCAACUUCCGCCUCCCGGGUUCAAGUGAUUCUCCUGCCUCAGCCUUCCAACUAGCUGGGAUUGCAGUGGGAAAUCUGAAAACGUGGAAACCCAAUCCCAUGAGUCAUCUCUGAAAGGAUCACAUGUAAGGUCUGGGAAGAUGGGUCUCUACUGACAGUGUGACAGGAAAGGUUGUCCCUUCCUUCAGGGUUUGUAAAAGAAGUAAUAAGUCAACCAAGAGUGACCUGCUGUUGGAGCAAAACAGGGACACACUAUAGAAUAUGGAAGAAGAGGGACGAUGUCUAGCCAAAUAAGGAACUGAAGGUUCUGAUGAAACCACUUGUAACUUUCAGCCUGGUUGCCUAGCUUUGCUACAGAAAGUUGAGGUCCAGUCACUUUGGGUACAGGGUACAGAUGAAGAAGGAGCACCCCCAGGAGGCUACAGUGUGAAGGCAGUUCAUUGCUAAUGCUAUGAAUCUUGAAGCAGUAGGAAGAAUCCACAUUCUACUUCCCCGUUUUCAUAUGCAGGAGUACAGAAUGAACUAUUAAUACACAAAUGGAUU
rnacentral:lncRNA from 1 species